CUCGGCGCCAUUUUGUCUCGGCAGCGGUGGCCGUAGCUCCAUCGCAUUUUAUGUUUCUGGCGAGAAGGGAACGGAGUUUUCAUCAGGUAGAUUGGUUUUUGUGCAGCCGUCCUCCACCGUUUCCUCCAGGACAGCACCUAGUCGUGGCCGGAAGAGUCUCAGAGCUGUCAGAAAGAAUAAGACUGAUUUUAUGGGAAAAUUAAGCAAAUGCUCCAGUUUGAAAAACCUGGAUCUGCGAUCUGUUUGUGGUCUCUAUGAAUAAAGAAAUAAAAGCAAAUAGAAUCUUAUCAGAUAAGUGCUGUUGUAAGUCUAAAUAUAUUUUAUUCUUUGGAAUCUCUAAAGCAAAACUUUUAAACUUUUUUUUUUUUUUUUUUUUUUUUAGGUACCAGCAUCAAGAUGAUUUAUGGUAAUAAGGUACUCAGUCUUUGCUUAAAAUAAAUUUUACAUUUAUCAAAGUAAAAUUUACCAGUUUUUUUUCCUAAAGAGGCUAGUCAUAUCUCAUCAGUGGUUACAAAGUAUCCUUACAAUUGAACCUACACUUGUUAAUCCUGUUUAGUGUGUAUGAAAAUCACUUGGUGGCCGGGCAUGGUGGCUAAUGCCUGUAAUCCCAGCACUUUGGGAGGCUGAGGCGGGCAGAUCACAAGGUCAGGAGUUCGAGACCAGCCUGGCUAAUAUAGUGAAACCCCAUUUCUACUAAAAAUGCAAACAUUAGUCAGGCGUGGUGGCAGGUGCCUGUAGUCCCAGCUACUUGGGAGGCUGAGGCAGGAGACUCUCUUCAACCCGUGAGGCAGAGGUUGCAGUGAGUCGAGAUCAUGUCACUGCACUUCAGCCUGAGCGACAGAGCAAGACUCCAUCUCAAAAAAAGAAAAUUACGUCACUUGAUGUUCUUUCUUUCAUAAGAGUUGAAGAGCUAGGUAUAUCUGCUUAUAUUAUGGCAUCUAUAGUAGCUUAGCUGCUCAUAUUUGGGUCUCUUUAGAACCAGUGUCUUUCAAAGAGGGUUUUAACUAUGCUGGUAUAAAUUUUAAAAAUAGAUACAUUCAAAGAAGAAUUAAGAUUCAUGUGACAUUCAUACUUUGGAACUUUGGGAAAGUAUAGGAAUGACCAUAGAUUGGCUUAGGGAUAGUCAAUUUACCUGUCUGUAAAUGGAUCCAAUUUAGUAUUGUUCCUGUAUUUUUCUAAGACCAACACUUGUGUCAUUCACAGUUAAAUAUAUGAGUUGUGGCCAGGCCCGGUGGCUCAUGCCUGUAAUUUCAGCAUUUUAGGAGGCUGAGGUGGGCAGAUUGCUUAAGUCCAGGAGUUCAAGACCAGCCUGGGCAAAAUAGUGAGAUGCCGUCUCUACAAAAAAUUUUUAAAAGUUAGCCAAGCAUGGUGGUGCUUGCCUGUGGCCCCAGCUACUCGGGAGGCUGAGGUGGGAGGAUUGCUUGAGCCAUAUGCUCUAAUAUAUUUUAAAAUACAUAUUUUAAAUAUAUUUUGAGUGGUAAAACAUAGCAGAUAAUGUUACAUAAAAGCAGCCAUGGUAAUGACAUAUGACAUUACUGGUUUUGAGUUGUUUGUGUAGUAGUUAGCUAUUAAUAUUCAGCUAUAAUGAUUUGCUAUUUAAACUACACAAAUGCUCAAAGUCCAGCGAUAACCCUGCACCCAAAUUCAGUGGCUAGAUUACCUUCUUAGGAAAGCACAACACUUGAAUGGAGUGACAUUGGCAUGAGUCCACUAGAGGGUGUGUAUACGUGGCCUGAGUUCAAAUUGUUUGUUCCUGCUGUGAGUACUGCUUUUCAGCUUCAAGUUAUUCUUCUCGGCCACAGUACUGUUUAUUCCACUUACUAACAGUUCUGUUUACAGAGCACUUUCACAUAAAUUCUGAUUUUUAAGAUGAAAGCUGUCUGAUGUUAGUAUUUUUAUUUUAAUCUUUAGAGAUCAAGAAAUUUUUUUAGUGACAGAAUAGGAACUUCAUUGAUCCUUAAAUCCACCCCUCACCACAAUAAAGGAAAAAAGCAAAAA
rnacentral:antisense_RNA from 1 species